UACGUAGGGUGCAAGCGUUUGUCCGGAAUUAUUGGGCGUAAGGAGCUCGUAGGCGGUCUGUCACGUCGGCUGUGAAAACCCGAGGCUUAACCCCGAGCCUGCAGUGGAUACGGGCAGACUAGAGGUAGGUAGGGGAGAAUGGAAUUCCCGGUGUAGCGGUGAAAUGCGCAGAUAUCGGGAGGAACACCGGUGGCGAAGGCGGUUCUCUGGGCCUUACCUGACGCUGAGGAGCGAAAGCGUGGGGAGCGAACAGG
rnacentral:rRNA from 1 species